UACGUAGGCAGCGAGCGUUGUUCGGAGUUACCGGGCGUAAAGAGUGCGUAGGCGGUUUUCUAAGUUUGGUGUGAAAUCUCCCGGCUUAACUGGGAGGGUGCGCCGAAAACUGGAAGGCUUGAGUAUGGGAGAGGUAAGCGGAAUUCCUGGUGUAGCGGUGAAAUGCGCAGAUAUCAGGAGGAACACCGGUGGCGAAGGCGGGUCUCUGGGCCGAUACUGACGCUGAGGAGCGAAAGCGUGGGGGAGCGAACAGG
rnacentral:rRNA from 1 species